rnacentral:sRNA from 1 species
CGGCCCGCUACGCCCGGUGCAUAAGGGCAA